UACGGAGGAUGCGAGCGUUAUCCGGAUUUAUUGGGUUUAAAGGGUGCGUAGGCGGCCUGCCAAGUUAGCGGUAAAAUUGCGGGGCUCAACCCCGUACAGCCGUUGAAACUGCCGGGCUCGAGUGGGCGAGAAGUAUGCGGAAUGCGUGGUGUAGCGGUGAAAUGCAUAGAUAUCACGCAGAACCCCGAUUGCGAAGGCAGCAUACCGGCGCCCGACUGACGCUGAGGCACGAAAGUGCGGGGAUCAAACAGG
rnacentral:rRNA from 1 species